GAAAUACAUUCUUAAAGAGAGGUGGAUACCUUUGAUGUUAUACUGGACUAAAAUCUCAUUUGGGCCACAUCUCAAGCCCAAUUUACCUUAGCUGCUGAGAAUGUGAAAGUUAGCCCAUUGAGCUUCACAAUUUAUGAUUAGUCCUGAAAACGUUUAUUAACUCUAUAGGAGUAUAUUGGUUCAGGAUCCAAGCAAGUUUGUGGCAGCGGCUGCACUGGUUUCAGGAGAGUCUGGUGGAGCUAUUGUGGUGGUGGCUGUGGAGGAAGAGUCUGAUUGGUUUAUAAUAUGUGUCUUAGGCUUUCACCAAUUAUUUUUAUUAUUAUCAAUUUAAAUUGAACAUCUAAAAUUUUCACUUUCUGAAUUUCUUUGCUGCACGUUUUAUUGAUAUUUUGUAUAUCUAUCAACAAUUGAUUUCUGGUUCUUUAAGUUUAGUUCCGUCCAUCUUUUUUUUGAACCAAUUAUAUUGGUUAACAGUUUCAGUUUUACACGUAUUGGCAUGAUGAAGUUUCUAUGGUCAUCAGUUUGGCAUAAUACUUUAUUUAUAAUAUAGUUUUGGCUGUUUAUGUUUGGACAAAUGCUUGAGCUUUGAAGUUUCAAAUGUCAGGAGAUCUGAUAAUGAUUUCUAUUAGAAAGUUUAUAAAAUCUAGUCGUUUAGGAUUCUUUAAUUACGAGUUAGUGUUAAUUAAAGUCUUUGCUUAUGGUCGCACAUUCAUCGUUUUCAGGUUAUUCCAAAUGGUGGUUCGGAAUUACCAAACCUUGUAACGUUUACUUUCUUUGUGCUUAUUAUAUGAUUUUGGUGUAUUAUUUAACAGCACGGUUAGCCUCAAAUACAUAUCAAGAAAAAUAAGAGCAUCAGAUUAGUAAGUUUUAUUUAAGAAAAUAUUACUUGUUUUAUGUUUUCUUUAUAAAUUGCUUAAAGAAGAAUUAAAGGGGAUAAUCACGCAUCUUUUCUUUGUCUGAUUGAAAAACAAGCAUGUUCUAUGAGAAAAUGGAUGAGACUCAUUCUAGGCAUUUCCCAUGAGAGGAAGGAACAUAAGCGUGGGAACUGCGUAGAUUAAAGAGGAACAUAAGAAGAAAAAUGAAGUGAAGAAGGCUUUUGGUGGAUAAGGACUUCUUCCUGCAGUGAGAUGCCAUUUUGUGCUAACAUCGGUAUUAUUCCAAGUUCCAAGUUGUAUCCAUUUGCUUUGUCAA